CUUACAGAGUUUAUUGGCAUUCUGUCCACCUCCACCACAUGAAACCCCUCUCUCUCUAUCUCUCUCUCUCUCGUUUUCUUUAAUGGAGGUGGGCAUCCUGCCAAUCAAGCUCUGUUGG
rnacentral:pre_miRNA from 1 species